ACAGUACCCCAGAAGUGCCUGAUCUUGUCUGAUCUCAGAAGCUAAGCAAGGCUGGGCCUGUUUAGUACUUGGAUGGGACAUGUCUCCUGUGCUCAAGUGACCUCCUCCAGGACCCUAGACCAGCGGGGACUGUA
rnacentral:rRNA from 1 species